CUUAAAUUGCAAAGUAAAAUGAGAAAAAGACAAAAGGCUUCUUGUAGCCUGAGAUCAGAAGGGGUUGAACAGGAGAACUCUUGAGGCUGAGAGCAGCGAGCACAGAGAAGGUAGAGAUGGGCCAGGACAGCUGAAGAGGCGGAGUGCCUGUGCCCGUGGGCACUGCAGCCCAGGACCAUGGCCAGACAGAUGUUACCCCCUCCCUUCCAGGUACCUGCUUUCAGAGGCUGAUCCAUCAUCAUUUAUUAUCUGUAUCGUCAAAUGUUAAGACACUCCUGCCACAGCAAAGCCCUACAUCUCAGACAUAGAGGAAUAAACAGAUGAAAAAUCACAACAGGGUUUUAUGACUCCGAUCACACACCAUACAUUAUCAGCACAAGUACAUUAGGACCCCGGGGGGGAAUUAAUCUUCUGAGAGACAGAGCUGGUUCUUGGUGAUACCUUUCCCAUGGGAGGAAAGAACAGAAGGUAUUUACUCCACGCCCCUUUUUCUAAUUGCUGCGUUUGCUUUUAUUGAAGGAAAGACGGGCAGAGGCGAUGUCUUCCCCAGGUUACAAGCUGAUGAGGAGGAGCCAGUUUUUCAUGCCCUGGUUCCUUGAUGUGCUGUAUUUGGGGUGAGGCAUAGAGGGUCGGGGAAAGGCAGCUCCCGGCAGCCAGGAGCUGGCCUGGCACUCAGCUGGUCUUGGGGCGUCUCUCCUGUUGAACAAACAAUUCCAAAGGACACCAGCAUCACACAGAGCCACUCCAUGACCAGGAUGGGUCAAGACAAUAGAAGGGCAGAGUCGUGACACUCACUUGAGAAUCCGUGGCCCUAAGCAUUCCUGGGAGCGGAUGCGGGAAAAUGGAAAUGGAGAAAUUGAACCUUAAAACACCUCCAGCCCAUCACUUCUCCCUGCCUGCCUGCCUCCCUCCCUCUCUCCUCCCAACACCUCCCUCCCUCCCUGAGCCCUCCCAGCCCCUGCACAUAGUGCCUCUGCCCCUGGGUUCCAAGGUCAGGCAUUCCUCCUCUUCUUCUGACGCUGACAUCUGUCCUGUGGCUGCCGCUGCACAGUCUCUAUCCUCGGGGGUCCCUGGGGAUGGCCGAGGGGUAGGUAAGACAGGGGUGGGGUGCACGAAGCUGCGUUCACACAGCAAGCACAGGUUUUAAUCAGAUCAGUGAAAACAACAAAGUUUUCUAUUGAUGUCUUCCUUCACCAGUUGCUUUUUUUCCCUUAAAUAUACUAAUGUCACUGUAUUGGGGUGGCUUGGGGAGAGGUCUAACGCCCCGCCUCCUGCCCUGCCCCCACCGGCUGGGCCGCUGGAGGUACUGGUUCACUUUUCUCUCUCUCCCUGCUGGACAGAGGAAGAGGGGUCUGCGUGUCUUCUGUCUCCAUCCCCAGCUCUCAGGCAGCGUGUCCCCUGCAUGAAUGAAGGACACUCACACAGUGGAAAAUCACUAGGGCUUGGGCAAAAGAGAGGUUUGCAGAUUUUACAUGCACAUGAACGUACAAACACACGAAUGGCUGCCUCCCCUGUCCCCGAACCCCAGACACACUGGAAGGGGUCUGCGAGGCCGCUGUGGGCUCUCCCCUCAGCAGGACCUGCUCACUCCUGCCUCAUCAAAUAUUUAUCUUGUGGCUCUUCUGCCUCACGAUGCUGC